rnacentral:rRNA from 1 species
UACGUAGGGUGCAAGCGUUGUCCGGAAUUAUUGGGCGUAAAGAGCUCGUAGGCGGUUUGUCGCGUCUGCCGUGAAAGUCCGGGGCUCAACCCCGGAUCUGCGGUGGGUACGGGCAGACUAGAGUGAUGUAGGGGAGACUGGAAUUCCUGGUGUAGCGGUGAAAUGCGCAGAUAUCAGGAAGAACACCGAUGGCGAAGGCAGAUCUCUGGGCCGUAACUGACGCUGAGGAGCGAAAGCAUGGGGAGCGAACAGG